GACGAACGCUGGCGGCGUGCCUAAUACAUGCAAGUCGAACGCUGAAGGAGGAGCUUGCUUCUCUGGAUGAGUUGCGAACGGGUGAGUAACGCGUAGGUAACCUGCCUGGUAGCGGGGGAUAACUAUUGGAAACGAUAGCUAAUACCGCAUAAGAGUAGAUGUUGCAUGACAUUUGCUUAAAAGGUGCAAUUGCAUCACUACCAGAUGGACCUGCGUUGUAUUAGCUAGUUGGUGGGGUAACGGCUCACCAAGGCGACGAUACAUAGCCGACCUGAGAGGGUGAUCGGCCACACUGGGACUGAGACACGGCCCAGACUCCUACGGGAGGCAGCAGGAGGGAAUCUUCGGCAAUGGACGGAAGGCUGACCGAGCAACGCCGCGGGAGUGAAGAAGGUUUUCGGAUCGUAAAGCUCUGUUGUAAGAGAAGAACGAGUGUGAGAGUGGAAAGUUCACACUGUGACGGUAUCUUACCAGAAAGGGACGGCUAACUACGUG
rnacentral:rRNA from 1 species